rnacentral:rRNA from 1 species
CAAUAGCGUAUACUAAAGUUGUUGCAGUUAAAAAGCUCGUAGUCGAAUGAAGGUUUCUUGUAUAGCGCGGACGUCUAGGUGUAACUUAGAUUAGUUUGCGCACAAGAACCUCCCUUGUGUGUCUCAGAGGAGCAAAUAUUUAUUUAUUUUGAUCCAUUUGCGACACACACAUUACUGUGAACAAAAUAGAGUGUUCAUGGCAGGUCAAUUUAGGCUUGAAUACCUCAGCAUGGAAUAAUAGAAUAGGACUUCCGGUUCUAUUUUGUUGGUUUUUGGUAGCCGAAGUAAUGAUUAAUAGGAGUAUUGGGGGCGACUCGUACUCCGUUGUCAGAGGUGAAAUUACUU